CUUUUCACCUUCGUAACCAACCAUCCAGAUAUUGUUUAGGACAAAUUCGUUUCAACCGUUGGAUCUUUGGCACUUGAGGGAAAAGAAGAAGAAGAAGGAAAAAAAAGAGACAUUGCGUAUUUUUCCCUCUCUCUCAUCCUACAUUGCUUUUUUGGUACGGAUGAGGAAAGUGCUUAAAAGUUUAGAUAAAUCUCGUGGACCAGUGCUUUACGUGGCCUGAUUUUCACGAAGUGAAGCUUCUUCUUUUUUUUUCGUGGACGGAGGAUGAUGUAAACGUCGCGAUGAGUAUCACCGAUUGGCAGAGAUACGGCUGUCGCACGGUUCCCCGUCUUCCAAAAGGCUGCGAUCGUAGCGAACAUCAUCAGACUAGUCCAGAAAAUAUUAAUACGCAUACCGAUUCUCUCUCUCUCUCUCUCUCUCUGCCUUUUUCUCUCGGCCCUCCUUUAAAGAAAUAUAUCGCACGAAUAGAGACACAAGCGAAACGCGACGGUACUUGUAAACCUUCCUUAUCUAAAGUCGUGCUCCAUAAAGGGUAUUAUCGAUCGUUAAACAAGACUUUGCACCACGAGGACGACGGAGGAGGAGGUGGACGAGACGGACGAUAAGUUUUAUUAUUACUGCCGUUUGAAAAUAAAAACUAUUGGUACAUAUCGGUACGUACUUACUUCCUCGUAAGCGUCUACGAUUCGAUGGUAUAUUUCGAAGGACGAACGUUUAUGGAGACGAUAAAAAUGAUGUUCCGUCCGUAAGAGAGGAAAAAAAAAAGAAAGAAAAAAACCAACGCGAUUCGAACGAAAUCGAUCGUUACGUAACGAGCAAGAACGCAAAGACAUGCGUAGGCAUGGAAAGCGCGAAAGUUUCUCUGACAAUGAGCUCGAUCCCUGGCAACCGGUGUGGCGCGCCUCUAUAGACCUCGUUUCGCUCCACGUACCGUUAACUCGAUCGAAAUAAAAUGAAUCCUAGGGGUAUGACAUGUUAUAGGUGGAUAUAGGACAAUUCGGACGGAUGCACAAGGGAGAAAGAGAGAUAAAAAGCCGACGAAAUGUGAGAAAAUCGCCGCGAGUGCUACUCGUCCUACUGUGCAUGUACGUUCGUAAACCUAGAAAUAACGGUCCCUCUCUUUCUCUCUCUCUCUCUCUCUCUUUCUCUCUCUCGGAAGCUGGACGAAGUAGAUUGAAACCAUUCGUGUACAAAGAAGAGUACAAAGAAGAGUAUUGUCUCGCAAUUUCUCCGGGGAUCUAUUCUUUUAUUUACACUCCGGUACAUACGUAGACGUAGGCGUAAUUUUUCACGGAUACGGGACGAGCCAUGAAAUAAAAAGGCGUGAAAUAAAAAAUCGAGAGAAUAUUUAUACCAUAUUUAAAAUCAGGACGCGCGUAGACCAACGAACAUCUCGUAAAAGGUGAGAAUAAAUAGCGAGAUCUCGCCGAAAUUCGAUAAGAAAAUGAAAUGGGAGAAGAAAAAAUUAAAAAGGGCAACAGGAAGAACAAAAAAAAACAAGAAAAGAAUUAUAUUACGAAUAACUUAAGGAGGAAGAUAAAUUAAAGACGGAGGAGGUCACCACUUAGCUGCGGACGAAUUUCUAAAAGCUCCAACGAACGAGGGAGGGAGAAGAGAGAAGGGGUCAAUUGAUUUCAUUGAAGAAGACGAAAACGACGAAAGCUCCUACCACCGAAAAGCAUCUAAUUUUCUCGCGAGUACCACUCGACGACGAGAUUAUUGUAGAUAAAAGCCGAGUGGUUCCUGUGGCACCGUGCAUAAAACAGCGUUCCCAAGAGCGCUUAUCGUUUCGAAAGAAAUCUACCGAAACCUUUGAUACUCUUCUACUCUCUUGAAAGAUAUCAAUAAUGUACAUUUACGUCGACUCUUUCUACUUGCGAAUAAACUUAUAUAUAACUUAGAAUAAACG